AGAGUGUUAAGAUCCGUACGUUAGGUGAAUCACCACCUACUUGGUGAAUGGAGAUUCAUUGAGACAUUUGAUAUUACUCAUGCAAGUGGACAAUUCUGACCAAUCAAUCAUCUCUACAAGAUGGUUUUCUAAACGGAAAUGCAGUAAGAAUGACCCUAAGUAUGCAUCAACUUACUUUCAUGAUGGUUGUUCUGAUUUUAGCUUUCAAUAUAUCAUUACUGAUUCACGAGUGUUUAUUUUUUGUCUAAAUAUUUUAGUACUGUCUAAUGAUGAAAUUCUAGAAGAAGAAGUUCAUGAAGAUUCUGGAAAUAGGAUCAAUCUAGCUUCCACUAUCUCUGGUGACCAACUCCUACUACAAAACUUAAUACUAAUUAUCUAUUUUAUUGUUCUUAACUCAAUAAUCUAAUAAUGAAUUUAAUUUUUUUUUUUAAUCUUUGUUAGGUUCCACUAAUGUUGACUAAGAUUCAAAAGACGACAUUUUAGUUCAUUAUUGGGCGAAUGUUCUGAGCAUUCAUCCAGCACCAAGAAAUUACUUGGAAAAAACUGAUGAAAAAAUUGGUUUUGAAGGCUGCUGAUAAGAAGGAAGAUGUGAACUUCAACAAUGAAAAUAUGACUCAAAGAAGAUUCGUAGUCUUAAAGUCAAGAUUGAGUAGAAAGAGUGAAUUGCUACCGUGGUUUUGGAGUUUUUAUUUGGUUUUCUUUUAUUUUGAUGACUUAGUCUUGCAAUGGUUUACGUAUUUGCUUCAAGUUUGGUUUUCUGGCUUUUCCAAUUGGUUAUUGAAUAAAUUGUGUUUUACAACUUUUCAAAGUUUCUAUUUAGAUUAAUAAUAUAUGUUAAUGUGAAUAUUUCUUCUAA
rnacentral:lncRNA from 1 species